UUGAGUUCUUGUUCUGUUUUUUUCUGCUUUGAUUUAAUUGCAUUGGUUUUGAAGAAUUUAACGUUAUGGGUUGUGAUGCAUGUUGAUAGCAAGCUGAAUCCUUUAUUAGGAAUGUUUUGGUGAGCAUGGAGUCAGUUUACCGAGUCGGAAUCCCACUGCAAAAUCUGUUUUGGGGCUUGUUCGAUCUGUUCAUCAUGAUACAAUUUGUUGAGAUCAUAUCGCUUUUAGAACUUUUGGGGUAUUUUUCUUCCUCCCAUUUCUUCUACUUCCAACUUCAUUUUUAUUUUAUGGAUUGAUCAUUCAAUUUCAGCAAACCCACUGGUUAUGGUCAAAAGCAUAUUUAAGUUGAAGAUAUAGUAUUACAUUUACCUCGUAAGUUUUUGGAUGAAUUGGUGAUUUAACAUGGUCUAGAGUGGAUAGUUUAGGAGGCUGUUAGGCCACCAUUGUUGUUUACCUAUAAUAGAAGAAAGAAAAAUAAGGCACGUUAGGAACCAACAACAGUUACUUAAAAAAGAUGACAGUUAUCUAAAACUGGAAGUUAAAUGGAUGAGAGGGAGGUGGGAAAGGGCAGGCAGUUUUUAGUAAAAGGAAGGGCCUGCAAUACUCCAUGAGAGAUAGGGGAAGCAGAGGGCUCACGAUCUUGUUCUGGUUUUAAUUGUAGUAUUUUGAAUUGUGUUUAUUUGUGUUUUGGAUUAGGAGGGUUUCUUUGCUUGUUGUUUGUAAUUUCUCUGUAAUUUUCUUUUUAUUGUAACUUUGAGUUUCAAAUGUCAAUAUAAUAGGGAACAGUACAUCAGUGUUCUAUCAAGGUUGUAUGUUCAAAAGUGAGUAGAUAGUUGAGGAGGUCCAAUGUUCAAAAGUGAGUAGAUGGUUUAGGAGGGUCCUAUGUUCAAAAGUUUGCUGGUGUGUAUCUUUGUUGGCUCGACAUGUUUUUAAUUUAUGAUUGUUGUUGGUGGAGAGAGCGGAAGAUGCCGGGGACAGCUUGGAGAAGAUCAAGCGGCAGCUGGCCUCUGGGUCUGGUCGGAAUUUGUUGCAGGGUCCCCUUCUAAAGCGAUCUGAAACAUUGAGGAAAUGGAAUGAGCGAUGGGUAGUUUUGGACCCAACAACAGGGAAAAUGGA